AAGUUGAAGAAAUCAAUCCUUUCUCAAUUCAUAUAUUUGUAAAAAAGUAAGAUGGUGCAGAGUCUGAAAGUAUGAUUUCGUAUCAAGUUGGAGAAGAUUGCUAUAAUUCCCCUGGGCAUAGUCAAGUCGCUUCAUUGAGCACAUAAUAUCUCAUACUUAAAAAAAAUGCUAUGUAUGUUCUCAUUUCACCUGAAUGCUCUUUAUACUUGUCUAUCUACGAGAGGUUGGGCGGUGAGUGGCAUACUAGUAGGAUGUGUUCGAGCAAAUCUCGAUUCUGACAGUUCCAAUUCUGAGCUGGGGGACAGGGUAGGAAUGGGGAAGGCGCAAGAUAUCUCAUAUUACUCUCUUUUGCCCUUAGCUGCUUUCUCCCCAUCUCCAGUCUGCUGCUGUUUGCCAUGCAGAGAUAGAAUUGUUCCGUGGACGGAGGCUUUUCAUAGCCAGACAGCUGCAGAGGCAGAGAAAAAUGCAGAGGCCCAAAUGGGAGGCGUGUAUUCAGAAGCCCGACCUGCGGGAAAGGUCCCAGGCAGCGACCCGAGCACCGAGCUUUCCCUUACAUUAUGCACAACCUGGAUAUUUGGACCUGCUGCUCAGUGGAUCCUGUCCUUCUGUGAAGGUGUCAUUAUACACUUAAAAAAAUGCACUUGCAUGGUAAGAUCCAACCUCUUCUGUUAAACAGGUAGUUAGACAAUGCAGUGCCUCUUGAUAGUUAAGUGUGGCUAAACGUGUGCAAUGCCUCCACACACAUGUGCGUGCACACGCACAUGUUCUGAGAUGGUUUAACUUGAGAGUUCAGCUCUAUCCUUGGGUACUGUUAAAGUAUUUAAUACGAGCCCAUUUACAAACAAAAGGACUGUCACUUUGAUGCCUAUGCACGGAAAGAAAGAUGUGCUUGUUGGCCACCAAAUAGCUCCGUUUCCGUACAGUUAAUUUUAGGAGCUUCUGUUCAUGCUCAAUUCUGAUUUCCACUUUGCAGAGACUUGCCUCUGCUGUUUGGACAGGUGAGAGCAUCAAACACACAAUUCUGUUAAAAUUAUAGCUUGUUUGUGUGAGGCAGAAGCAUUUUAGCAUGUUAUCAGUUACUCCUACUGUCUAUUUUGACGGCUUUUUAUUUAUGAAAUAUUGGCAUAUUUUUAUCUGCAAGUCUUCUCAGUUGUUUUUGGAAGAGAGAUUUGGAGAAACAUGAAUGGUGGGCGCAGCCAUGGACAGCCGAUUCUAAAUUAAAUGAUCUUGCCAUUUUAUUUUUAAAAAAGAGAAAUUAGCACGAGUUCAUUUAAUGUCUUGCAAGGUCCAAGCCAGAAAUAAUUCCAUAAUCCUAAAGGACUGCUCCUCUUUAAUACUAAAAACAUCUCUUUAAAUACAUGUGCCUUUAUCUCAGCAUUUUGCAUUCUUUUAUAUUUCUCUGGGCAUUGGAUUUUGGGCUCUGUUUAGUGCACAUCCCUUUCUUCUAAAUUCUUCUUAAAACUAAUCUCUUUUGGGGAGUCUUUCCAGAACGUUGUGUCUCAGCAUUCAUACUUUUUAUUGUGUGUACAGAGGGAAUUUGUUUUUCUCACUUGAUUCUGCAUGGCAUGGGGGCUGGAUAAAAGUGGGCAUGUCUUUUAUCCAAAAUAUAAAAAAAAGUUUUUCAGAACACCCGAUUAAAACCAACCACAAUGCUGAGAGGACUGCUUGGGACAAGAAAUCAUUUGCAUGUCAAGGUUCUUUCAUUCUUUAUGAUAACCUGCUGCUAGAAAUACUGCAGCUCCUGGAUGAGCCCGACCUAAAACUGAUAUCCAGCAGUGAAAUUUGAAUUUCGAUAUAUGUUGUAUAAUGAGACCCACUUAAAGUCCUUUGAGCCUAAAAUCUCAUGAAAACCAUUUCUGUAAGAUCCUUUCCAUAUUUCCUGUUUCUAGGGAUGUAAUUAGAUUUAUGUAUGACUUACGAGGCUGUUGUAGCUUUGGUUAUAAUUACAAAGAGGGUGGACUCCGGUCAGAACUGUAACAUUGCCAAGUGCCUUAUUGGCGCCCUUUUCCCGGGUACCCAUUUGAUUUCCCUGGGACCCCAUUUCAGGGUCCACUGGGCCAGAUACUGUCCUUGGCUGAGGCCCCACUUUAUUCUGUGAUUCCAAUCCCCUUCUUAUCUGUUUGUUUGUAUGAUCAUUCAUUCAUUCAUUCUUUCAUAUAACAAAUACUCAUUGAGAACCAGGUUCUACUCUGCUCGGAAUUUAGAAGAGGACAGAAUUGCC
ensembl:lincRNA